AACGAACGCUGGCGGCAGGCCUAACACAUGCAAGUCGAGCGGACAUCUUCGGAUGUUAGCGGCGGACGGGUGAGUAACGCGUGGGAACGUGCCCUUUGCUUCGGAAUAGCCUCGGGAAACUGGGAGUAAUACCGGAUGUACCCUUUGGGGUAAAGAUUUAUCGGCAAAGGAUCGGCCCGCGUUGGAUUAGGUAGUUGGUGGGGUAAUGGCCUACCAAGCCGACGAUCCAUAGCUGGUUUGAGAGGAUGAUCAGCCACACUGGGACUGAGACACGGCCCAGACUCCUACGGGAGGCAGCAGUGGGGAAUCUUAGACAAUGGGGGAAACCCUGAUCUAGCCAUGCCGCGUGAGCGAUGAAGGCCUUAGGGUUGUAAAGCUCUUUCACCGGGGAAGAUAAUGACGGUACCCGGAGAAGAAGCCCCGGCUAACUCCGUG
rnacentral:rRNA from 1 species